UACGUAGGGGGCGAGCGUUGUCCGGAAUUAUUGGGCGUAAAGAGCGUGUAGGCGGUUCGGUAAGUCUGCCGUGAAAACCGUGGGGCUCAACCCUGGGCGUGCGGUGGAUACUGCCGGGCUAGAGGGUGGUAGAGGCGAGUGGAAUUCCCGGUGUAGCGGUGAAAUGCGCAGAUAUCGGGAGGAACACCAAUGGCGAAGGCAGCUCGCUGGGACGGUACUGACGCUGAGACGCGAAAGCGUGGGGAGCAACAGGG
rnacentral:rRNA from 1 species